rnacentral:tRNA from 2 species
GGUGGAAUGGCCGAGAGGCGAGGCACAGGACUGCAAAUCCUGCUACACGGGUUCAAAUCCCGUUUCCACCUCCA